rnacentral:rRNA from 1 species
GGCGGACGGGUGAGUAAUACUUAGGAAUCUGCCCAUUAGUGGGGGACAACAUUCGGAAACGGAUGCUAAUACCGCAUACGCCCUACGGGGGAAAGCGGGGGAUCUUCGGACCUCGCGCUAAUGGAUGAGCCUAAGUCGGAUUAGCUUGUUGGUGAGGUAAUGGCUCACCAAGGCGACGAUCCGUAGCUGGUCUGAGAGGACGAUCAGCCACACUGGGGCUGAGACACGGCCCAG